rnacentral:ribozyme from 1 species
UGCCCAGCAAUUCCUAUCCCUACCUUCUCGUGGUACCGGUCGGGGUACGAGUAACCUUAGGGAAGA